rnacentral:piRNA from 1 species
UCUGAGCUGUGACCAUCCCCAAAGCACUGC